UCGAGGAUCUUCGGCAAUGGGCGCAAGCCUGACCGAGCGACGCCGCGUGCGCGAUGAAGGCCUUCGGGUUGUAAAGCGCUGUCGAGGGGGAGGAAAGCCCGCAAGGGCCUGACCUAUCCCUGGAGGAAGCACGGGCUAAGUUCGUGCCAGCAGCCGCGGUAAGACGAACCGUGCGAACGUUGUUCGGAAUCACUGGGCUUAAAGGGCGCGUAGGCGGCUUCGCCAGUCGGGGGUGAAAUCUUUCGGCCCAACCGGAAAAGGGCCUCCGAUACUGCGAAGCUCGAGGGAGGUAGGGGCGGACGGAACUUCCGGUGGAGCGGUGAAAUGCGUUGAUAUCGGAAGGAACGCCGGUGGCGAAAGCGGUCCGCUGGCCCUCUACUGACGCUGAGGCGCGAAAGCCAGGGGAGCAAACGG
rnacentral:rRNA from 1 species